AGCGAACGCUGGCGGCAGGCUUAACACAUGCAAGUCGAGCGGGCCCUUCGGGGUCAGCUGCAGUCGGGUGAGUAACGAGGGGGAACGUGCCCUUCGGCUCGGAAUAACCCUGGGAAACUAGGGCUAAUACCGGCUACGCCCCUUGGGGGACAGUCUUACUCCCGAAGGAUGGGCCCGCGUCUGUUUAGCUUGGUGGUGAGGUAACGACGCACCAAGGCGACGAUCGGUAGCCGGUCUGAGAGGAGGAUCAGCCAAACUGGGAGUGAGCCGCUGUCGAGACUCCUCCAGAAGGGACCAAAGGGGGAUAGAGGACAGUCGGCGCAGGCAUGAUGGCGCCAUGCCGCGUGAGUGAUGUCGGCAUUAGAGAUGUAAAGCUCCUUUGUCUGGGGCGAUAAUGACGGUACCGGAAGAAUAAGCCCCGGCUAACUUCGUGCCAGCCGCCGCCGUAAAAC
rnacentral:rRNA from 1 species